rnacentral:rRNA from 1 species
UACGUAGGCAGCGAGCGUUGUUCGGAAUUACUGGGCGUAAAGAGUGUGUAGGCGGUGCUCUAAGUUCGGUGUGAAAUCUCCCGGCUUAACUGGGAGGGUGCGCCGGAAACUGGAGUGCUCGAACGUGGGAGAGGAAAGCGGAAUUCCUGGUGUAGCGGUGAAAUGCGCAGAUAUCAGGAAGAACACCCGUGGCGAAGGCGGCUCUCUGGAACGCAACUGACGCUGAGACGCGAAAGCGUGGGGAGCAAACAGG